CAUUAUUGAAUAAACCUGAUGUGGCUGUUAGCUGGCUUUUUUGAAGCAUGUGCUCGUCCGUCAUUUUUAUCUCCACCUGUGCACAUUUUGUAGUCUUGGAUACCUCUCGAGGCAACUCGGAUUUUAGGAUUGCCGUGCUGUUCCAGUCGGCUUUCCUUUCAUUUCCAAGACUAUGUUUUUAUAUACACCAAAGCAUGUUUAUAGAAUGUCAUCAAUAGGAACUUGUUUCCUAUAAAAUUAUACAACUUUCAGCAACGGAUCUCUUGGCUCUCGCAUCGAUGAAGAACGCAGCGAAAUGCGAUAAGUAAUGUGAAUUGCAGAAUUCAGUGAAUCAUCGAAUCUUUGAACGCACCUUGCGCUCCUUGGUAUUCCGAGGAGCAUGCCUGUUUGAGUGUCAUUAAAUUCUCAACCUUCCAGCUUUUAUUGGCUUGGUUAGGCUUGGAUGUGGGGGUUGCGGGCUUCAUUAAUGAGGUCGGCUCUCCUUAAAUGGAUUAGCGGAACUUUUGUGGACCGUCUAUUGGUGUGAUAAUUAUCUACGCCGUGGAUGUGAAGCAGCUUUAUGAAGUUCAGCUUCUAAUCGUUCAUUGACUUGGACAAUUUUGACAAUUUGACCUCAAAUCAGGUAGGACUACCCGCUGAACUUAGGCAUAUCAAUA
rnacentral:rRNA from 1 species